ACACUGGCACAGCCAGGCCCCCUCCUUCCACAGUCUGCUGGCAUUCCACAGGCAGGCAAAGCCAAGCAACUAAUAGUCCAGCAGCCUUCAGUAGGCAAUGCCAAUCAUGUGAUCUCCAUUUCCCAUUCCUCACCAUUGAGCUCUCAGACCUGUGGGCAGAAGGCACCAGUGACUGCUGUAAUGCCUACUGCUUCCAUCAUAAAGCAAAUUAGUCUGCCUGGAAAUAAACUUUUGUCGCUUCAAGCUCAAACAACUUCUAUUCAGAACAAUAAAA
rnacentral:lncRNA from 1 species